ensembl:lncRNA
AACUCUCACACACACACACACUCUUCUUACUCCUUUAACUCUCACACUCACACACACUCUUCUUACUCCUUUAACUCUCACACACACACUCUUCUUACUCCUUUAACUCUCACACACACACUCUUCUUACUCCUUUAACUCUCACACACACACACUCUUCUUACUCCUUUAACUCUCACACACACACACACACACUCUUCUUACUCCUUUAACUCUCACACACACACACACACUCUUCUUACUCCUUUAACUCUCACACACACACUCUUCUUACUCCUUUAACUCUCACUCACACCCUCCAGCAAAAAAGGCUCAGUUGGACGACCUGGCUCUGAGGUCACCGUCUAGAUUCCUCGCGGUUGAUUGGCUGGCAUGGCCAGUGAGUGGUUUCCAUGGCGACAUCUGGUGGUAUCCAUGGCGACAUCUGGUGGUAUCCAUGGCGACAUCAGGUGGUAUCCAUGGCGACAUCUGGUGGUAUCCAUGGCGACAUCAGGUGGUAUCCAUGGUGACAUCCUCCGGUGUCUCGACUCCACAGAAGUCCAUGAUCACAUUAUCAGACGUCUCUUCCCACGGGGUUACAGCCAAUCAGAAGGCAUUAUCAGACGUCUCUUCCCACAGGGUUACAGCCAAUCAGAAGGCAUUAUCAGACGUCUCUUCCCACGGGGUUACAGCCAAUCAGAAGGCAUUAUCAGACGUCUCCUCCCACGGGGUUACAGCCAAUCAGAAGGCAUUAUCAGACGUCUC